UAUCCUAGUACCUUCUGCUUCACUUCAACGCAUGCUCUGCUUCGUCCGUCAAACCUUCGCUUCUUCUUCUUCCGUUAAACCUUCUGCUUCACUCUCAAAUUUCUUUUUCCAUCAAACCUUCAGCUUCAUUUCACGGUCAACACAGUCGUUCGUGAGCCAAUUUGCGAUGAAAACAUUUAACUAAGUGUUCAAUUUGGGGUUAGUGAUUUCGCAAGAGCUUUUUAAGCUUUCUCUUCUCUACGCUGUUCUUCGAUCGAUUGCUUCCAUUUAAGAGGUUUUAGGUGGAACAAAUUUUUCAGAGAUUACAAAUUUGAGGUAAGGGAAUAUGAAUGUUCGUUAUUUAUUUUUUAACGUUUUGAUUUGAAAUUACAAUGUUAUUUGCUUUUUGAAAUUUCGUGGAACUCGUUGGUUUCUGUUUAUGCGGAGAAUGAUUUGUUGUGUGAUGCUUUGGAGGUGUUUAGUGUUAUGCGGAGAACAAAUUUGAAUGUUCGUGAAGCUUUUGGAGCUGCAUGAAAGAAAGAAAGAAGAUUGGAUAAGAAUAUCCACUUCUAUAUGAAUAUCCACUUAUAAGUAUCAAGUACAUUCAUUCAUGACUAUUUUCAUACUGGCAUCAGAUGCUUUAGAUAGUUUUUUUUUAUGCAAUAAUAUUUCCACAUCUCGUGCAACACAUUGAUACUUCAUUUUCAAUCAUUUCCUAUUGGAUUUGCAGGUGCUUUGCAUUGAUUAUGUGGGCUGGACUUAGUUACUUCUAUACCUGGAAAUGGACUUUAAUUAUAUACCUUCUUUUUUGUCUAUAUAAAUAAUAUCAUUAUUGGAGAAAAUUCUAAUAUAUAAAUAAUAUCGUUAUUGGAGAAAAUUCUUAGAAUUCUUAGAAGCAUGUAUAACUCUACACUUAAUUUAUUGUAGUAAUCAAAUUACCAAAUCUCCUUGCAAAUUAAUAAUGAUAUUUUGUUAUAAUCUUACUGCAAAAGUAUAAGUUGCUAAUAUAUUUCUCAGCUAUAUAGCAGUUUUUGACAAUUUUCUCCUUUUGUGCAGAGGAUUUUAACUUGAACAAUUUUGAAGAUGGAGUUUUAUCAUUUGUUUUUAUGAUUGAACAAUUUUUGUUGAGCAGUUAAACAAUAGUACGUACCAAAUAUAAUAAUUUUCUUAUGUUUUAUAUAUUCUUCUCGUGCCUAUCAUGUGUAUGAGGAUGUGCAAGGGAUCAAAGACACCUUGUCAAUUGUGAAAGGUGUGUUGUUGGAUGCUGAGGAGAAGAGGGAGCAGAAGCAUGGGUUGCGUGAAUGGCUCAGGCAGAUUCAAAACGUAUGCUUAGAUGCUGAAGAUAUAUUGGAUGGAUUUCAGUGCCAAAACUUAAGAAAGCAAGUUGUCAAAGCUUUAGGCAACACCAGAAUGAAUCAAAAAGAAAUAUCUUUUUGGAAGCCAAUGAUAUGCUUCUAUUCAUGCUGAAAUGGUACCAGAAGUUUCCUUCUUACAGAUCAAGGGAGUUGUUUCUUACUGGAGAAAGCUUUGCAGGACAUUAUAUACCACAGUUAGCUAAUGCUAUUUUGGACCACAAUGCUAAUUCAGCUGGUUUCAAAUUCAAUAUUAAAGGAGUUGCUAUUGGAAACCCACUUCUGAAAACUUGAUCGUGAUGCACAAGCAACUUAUGAAUACUUCUGGUCACAUGGAAUGAUUUCCGAUGAAGUUGGCCUUGCCAUUACGAAUGAUUGCGAUUUUGAUGAUUAUGUUUUUUCAAGUACACAACAUAAUGUGUCUAAAUCAUGCAACAAAGCAUUAAACAAAGCAGAAAAAAUUGUUGGCGAUUAUAUAAACAACUAUGAUGUGAUUCUGGAUGUUUGUUAUCCAUCCAUAGUUGAACAAGAACUAAGAUUGAAAAAGAUGGCUACGAAAAUAAGCAUAGGUGUAGAUGUCUGCAUGGAUUAUGAAAGAAGUUUUUAUUUCAACCUCCCUGAGGUUCAGAAGGCUCUGCAUGAAAAUCGUACCAAUCUUCCGUACCAAUGGAAUAUGUGCAGUGGGUUCAAAAUCUCUUGGAUCAUUGUUCACAACAUCUUGAUAAAGGUGAGACUCACCAUGUCCUGCAGUGCUUGGAAUUGCUGUGGUAGCUAUGGCUGAAGAUUUAGGACUUGACAUCUUCUAUAGUAUGGACUGAAGUUGUUUGAUGAUUCUUUACAAACAUUAUGUAGGUUCUUGGAAACAAGUAUCAAAGAAAAUUGCUUGAAGUAAUAGAUGCUAAGCACUAAAACUUUCAUUUUAUAGUGAUUAUAAGGUGCACGCAUUUGUAUGGCAGAGGUAUAAUACUCUGAACUCAUGUUCUAAGUUAAAACUUGUUUUCAAUAUCAA